ensembl:rRNA 5S_rRNA 5S ribosomal RNA
CCGUGUAAUCCCGAGCACACCUGAUUUCAUCUGGUCUCUGAUGAUUAGUGGGAUCAGGCUACCUUGGCCUUGGAUGGGAGACUGUGGGGAAGUUGCAGAUG